UUACAUUAUGCAUCAUCUUCACCAGCUCGCUUGCUUCCUAGCCAUUUUUUCAAGGUGUAAAUAUUAUGUAAAAUUAUGGUGCCAGUAGUAUUUUGCAAGUACGCUGUGCGGAUGGCCAUAUUUCUGACGAUUACGAGAGCGCUAGGCCGCCCACUCGACACGAUCGCCCAUGGAGCGCGCCAAGCAUUGCGGAAAAAUCUGAGGAGCGCGUGACGUCAAAUAUCUCUCGCGCUCCAUGUGCGGCUGCACGGUACAAACACGGCGAAUUCUGAAUAACGCCUGAAGAUGUUUGAUUCGGAGAUCUCGUGGAAGUCUGAAGACAAUAUAUUCUAUGAGAGAUGGGUUCGUACAUGCUUCUUCGUCUUCGUUCUUUCCCCGUAGCAGGAAUUAGACGUACGCCGAAACACCAAAUGAAAUGAAGCGAAAUGAAAGUCAGGAACUCCAACAGGAGAGCCAACGUGCGUCACUUCCGUGGUCUGCUACGGCGGCGCGGCGACGCUCACCAGGGGCUCAGAGUGCUCCACGGCCGAAUUUUAUAUCGCGAUUGUGGCGGCGUUUCAACUAAUAUACGCAAAUCUAAGUCGAAUUCCGGAUUGUUUUGGUACACAUCGCAAUAUGAGGCAAAUAGCUGUGCAGCCUAUUUUCGUUUCCGUCGUCUUUUAAGUACAUUGUUAUUUAUAGCUAUUUUUCAUUUCAGUCAUGUUAUGUGGGUACGCGAAGGAUUCCGAAAAACAACAACAACAUGGCUAACAGGAUGUUGCUGCCCAGGGAGUCUUGGCUGAAGAGGUCUACUCAUUCCAGAAGCAAGAAUUGUACCAUUGUAAAGCGAAUGGAAAUAAACUGACGUCGACUGAGA